GCUGGAGGCGCCAGCUUCGCACCUGCCCCGUGAGGAGCUUGCCCAGGUCUGGGUGCUGAGGAGAGCCGGCUGCGCAGUGGAGCCCCUCCAGCAGUAGCAGCAGGCAGGGUUCUUGAGUCCAAGAAAACCAAGUCAGAUCACUUCAAGAAGAAUUUCUUGUAAGGAAGGAAUCAAAUGAAAUGCCAAGGAAAUAGUUCAGAGCACCUACUACCAAUCUCUCUGAUGGACAAGGAACAACAGGAGAGAAGGAACUCUGGCGACUUUACUG